rnacentral:rRNA from 1 species
UCAAGUCAGCAUGGCUCUGACGCCCAGGGCUACACACACGCUACAAUGGCCGGUACAGAGGGCUUGCGAAGGGGCGACCCGGAGCGAAUCCCAUCAAAGCCGGUCUCAGUUGGGAUUGCAGGCUGCAACUCGCCUGCAUGAACGCGGAGUUGCUAGUAACCGCAGGUCAGCACACUGCGGUGAAUACGUUCCCGGGCCUU